rnacentral:rRNA from 1 species
CCUACGGGAGGCAGCAGUGAGGAAUAUUGGUCAAUGGACGAGAGUCUGAACCAGCCAAGUAGCGUGAAGGAUGACUGCCCUAUGGGUUGUAAACUUCUUUUAUAUGGGAAUAAAACGUUCCACGUGUGGGAUUUUGUAUGUACCAUAUGAAUAAGGAUCGGCUAACUCCGUGCCAGCAGCCGCGGUAAUACGGAGGAUCCGAGCGUUAUCCGGAUUUAUUGGGUUUAAAGGGAGCGUAGGUGGAUUGUUAAGUCAGUUGUGAAAGUUUGCGGCUCAACCGUAAAAUUGCGGUUGAAACUGGCAGUCUUGAGUACAGUAGAGGUGGGCGGAAUUCGUGGUGUAGCGGUGAAAUGCUUAGAUAUCACGAAGAACUCCGAUUGCGAAGGCAGUUCACUGGACUGCAACUGACACUGAGGCUCGAAAGUGUGGGUAUCAAACAGGAUUAGAUACCCGAGUAGUC